rnacentral:rRNA from 1 species
AGUGAACGCUGGCGGUAGGCCUAACACAUGCAAGUCGAACGGCAGCACAGUAAGAGCUUGCUCUUACGGGUGGCGAGUGGCGGACGGGUGAGGAAUACAUCGGAAUCUACUUUUUCGUGGGGGAUAACGUAGGGAAACUUACGCUAAUACCGCAUACGACCUACGGGUGAAAGCAGGGGAUCUUCGGACCUUGCGCGAUUGAAUGAGCCGAUGUCGGAUUAGCUAGUUGGCGGGGUAAAGGCCCACCAAGGCGACGAUCCGUAGCUGGUCUGAGAGGAUGUUCAGCCACACUGGAACUGAGACACGGUCCAGACUCCUACGGGAGGCAGCAGUGGGGAAUAUUGGACAAAGGGCGCAAGCCUGAUCCAGCCAUACCGCGUGGGUGAAGAAGGCCUUCGGGUUGUAAAGCCCUUUUGUUGGGAAAGAAAAGCAGCAGGUUAAUACCCCGCUGUUCUGACGGUACCCAAAGAAUAAGCACCGGCUAACUUCGUG